ACUGGAUAGCCUUAGUAGCGGCGAGUGAGCGGCAAAAGCUCAAAUUUGAAAUCUGGCUCUUUCAGAGUCCGAGUUGUAAUUUGAAGAAGGUAUCUUUGGGUCUGGCUCUUGUCUAUGUUUCUUGGAACAGAACGUCACAGAGGGUGAGAAUCCCGUGCGAUGAGAUGAUCCAGGCCUAUGUAAAGUUCCUUCGAAGAGUCGAGUUGUUUGGGAAUGCAGCUCUAAGUGGGUGGUAAAUUCCAUCUAAAGCUAAAUAUUGGCGAGAGACCGAUAGCGAACAAGUACAGUGAUGGAAAGAUGAAAAGAACUUUGAAAAGAGAGUGAAAAAGUACGUGAAAUUGUUGAAAGGGAAGGGCUUGAGAUCAGACUUGGUAUUUUGUAUGUUACUUCUUCGGGGGUGGCCUCUACAGUUUAUCGGGCCAGCAUCAGUUUGGGCGGUAGGAGAAUUGCGUUGGAAUGUGGCACGGCUUCGGUUGUGUGUUAUAGCCUUCGUCGAUACUGCCAGCCUAGACUGAGGACUGCGGUUUAUACCUAGGAUGUUGGCAUAAUGAUCUUAAGUCGCCCGUCUUGAA
rnacentral:rRNA from 1 species